rnacentral:rRNA from 1 species
CACGUAGGGCGCAAGCGUUGUCCGGAAUUAUUGGGCGUAAAGAGCUCGUAGGCGGUCUGUUACGUCUGCUGUGAAAACCCAGGGCUUAACCCUGGGCUUGCAGUGGAUACGGGCAGACUAGAGGCAGGUAGGGGAGAAUGGAAUUCCCGGUGUAGCGGUGAAAUGCGCAGAUAUCGGGAGGAACACCGGUGGCGAAGGCGGUUCUCUGGGCCUGACCUGACGCUGAGGAGCGAAAGCAUGGGUAGCGAACAGG